GUGCCAGCCGCCGCGGUAAUACGGAGGGUGCAAGCGUUACUCGGAAUCACUGGGCGUAAAGGACGCGUAGGCGGGAUAUCAAGUCAGGUGUGAAAUCCAAUGGCUCAACCAUUGAACUGCAUUUGAAACUGGUAACCUAGAGUAUGGGAGGGGGAGAUGGAAUUAGUGGUGUAGGGGUAAAAUCCGUAGAUAUCACUAGGAAUACCUCAAGCGAAGGCGAUCUCCUGGAACAUAACUGACGCUAAGGCGUGAAAGCGUGGGGAGCAAACAGGAUUAGAUACCUGUAGUC
rnacentral:rRNA from 1 species